rnacentral:pre_miRNA from 1 species
ACCAUAUUUGGACCGUCGGUCUGCGAAGCAAUUUCACCCGCUCGAUGGAAGAUCUUCCUUUUGUGGU